rnacentral:rRNA from 1 species
AACGAACGCUGGCGGCAUGCCUAACACAUGCAAGUCGAACGAGACCUUCGGGUCUAGUGGCGCACGGGUGCGUAACGCGUGGGAACCUGCCCUUAGGUUCGGAAUAACUCCCCGAAAGGGGUGCUAAUACCGGAUAAUGUCUUCGGACCAAAGAUUUAUCGCCUUUGGAUGGGCCCGCGUUGGAUUAGCUUGUUGGUAGGGUAAAAGCCUACCAAGGCGACGAUCCAUAGCUGGUCUGAGAGGAUGAUCAGCCACACUGGGACUGAGACACGGCCCAGACUCCUACGGGAAGCAGCAGUGGGGAAUAUUGGACAAUGGGCGAAAGCCUGAUCCAGCAAUGCCGCGUGAGUGAUGAAGGCCUUAGGGUUGUAAAGCUCUUUUACCCGGGAUGAUAAUGACAGUACCGGGAGAAUAAGCUCCGGCUAACUCCGUG